GAGGUGGAGGCAGUUAAGACUUGCAGUGAUGUUUAGAGCAGUGCACACAUGAACAUCACUUUAAGUCUGGGCUGACUUUC
rnacentral:pre_miRNA from 1 species